UACGGAGGGUGCAAGCGUUAUCCGGAUUCACUGGGUUUAAAGGGUGCGUAGGCGGGCAGGUAAGUCAGUGGUGAAAUCUCCGGGCUUAACCCGGAAACUGCCGUUGAUACUAUUUGUCUUGAAUAUUGUGGAGGUAAGCGGAAUAUGUCAUGUAGCGGUGAAAUGCUUAGAUAUGACAUAGAACACCAAUUGCGAAGGCAGCUUACUACACAACGAUUGACGCUGAGGCACGAAAGCGUGGGGAGCAAACAGG
rnacentral:rRNA from 1 species